UAAGAAAUUAAGAGCUUGUAAAGGAUCCCUUGGUAUCCAGAAGCGAUGAAGGACGUGGCUACCAGCGAAAUGCUUCGGGGAGUUGGAAGUAAACUUUGAUCCGGAGGUCUCCGAAUGAGGAAACUCUACAUCUUUUUACUGAAUUUAUAAGUAAAAAAGAGCAAACUCAGGGAAUUGAAACAUCUUAGUACCUGAAGGAAAAGAAAGUAAAAACGAUUCCCUUAGUAGUGGCGAACGAAACGGGAACAGCCUAAACCAUCAUAGCCUUUUAGGUAUGGCGGGGUUGUGGGAUAAACAUAAGAAAGUUAAUAUAAACUUUAUAAAAAAUUAGGUGAAUUAGUUGGAAAGCUAUACCAUAGAAAGUGAUAGUCUUGUAACCGAAAAUUUUUUCAUUUUAUUUAUACCCGAGUAGCAUGGGGCACGUGGAAUCCCGUGUGAAUCUGCGAGGACCACCUCGUAAGGCUAAAUAUUCCUGGAUGUCCGAUAGUGAAAUAGUACCGCGAGGGAAAGGUGAAAAGAACCCCGGGAGGGGAGUGAAAUAGAACGUGAAAUUGCAAGCUUACAAAUAGAAGGAGAACGACUUAGCGUUUGACUUCGUGCCUGUUGAAGAAUGUUCCGGCGAGUUAUAGUUAGUGGCAGGUUAAGAUAGAGAUAUCGGAGCCAGAGUGAAAGCGAGCUUGAAUAGAGCGUUAGUCACUAGUUAUAGACCCGAACCCGCUUGAUCUAACCAUGGCCAGGAUGAAACUUAGGUAAUACUAAGUGGAGGUCCGAACCGACUAAUGUUGAAAAAUUAGCGGAUGAGUUGUGGUUAGGGGUGAAAUGCCAAUCGAAAGCGGAGCUAGCUGGUUCUCCCCGAAAUGUAUUUAGGUACAGCGGUUAAUGUUUCAGCGUAGGGGUAAAGCACUGUUUCGGUGCGGGCUGGUAAUUCGGUACCAAAUCGAGGCAAACUCUGAAUACUACGUGUAUAGUUAACCAGUGAGACUAUGGGGGAUAAGCUUCAUAGUCAAGAGGGAAACAGCCCAGAUCACCAGCUAAGGCCCCCAAAUAAUUACUAAGUGGUAAAGGUAGUGGAAAGGCUUAGACAACCAGGAGGUUUGCUUAGAAGCAGCAAUCCUUUAAAAAGUGCGUAAUAGCUUACUGGUCCAGCAGUUCUGCGCCGAAAAUUUAUGGGACUAAGUAAUUUGCCGAAGCUGUGAGAUAUAUAAAUUUAUAUAUCGGUAGGGGAGCGUUCCAUUGUAGGCUGAAGUAUUAGCGAAAGCGGAUAUGGACGAAAUGGAAGUGAGAAUGUCGGAUUGAGUAGCGAAAACAUUGGUGAGAAUCCAAUGCUCCGAAACCCUAAGGUUUCCUCCGCAAGGUUCGUCCACGGAGGGUUAGUCAGGUCCUAAGGUGAGGCUGAGAAGCGUAAUUGAUGGAAAAUAGGUUAAUAUUCCUAUACUGAUCAUUGUUGGUAUCGAGGGACGAAGAAGGCUAGGUUAGCCGGAUAGUGGUUACCGGUUCAAGUAGACGAGGUGUUGAAAAAUAGAGAAAAUAUUUUGAGCUAAGCUACGAGUACAAGAUUCUUAGAAAUCAAAGUAAUUGAUGUCAUACUUCCAAGAAAAGCUCGCAAUGCCUUAAACAAUGAUUACCUGUACCUGAAACCGACACAGGUAGGGAGGUAGAGAAUACCAAGGAGCGCGGGAGAACCCUCCUUAAGGAACUCGGCAAAAUAGCUCUGUAACUUCGGAAGAAAGAGUGCCCAUAGGGCUGCAAUAUCAAGUUCCAAGCAACUGUUUAGCAAAAACACAGGUCUCCGCUAAGUUGUAAAACGACGUAUGGGGGCUGACGCCUGCCCAGUGCCGGAAGGUUAAAGAAGUCGGUUAGCUUUGGCAAAGCUGAUAACUGAAGCCCCGGUGAACGGCGGCCGUAACAAUAACGGUCCUAAGGUAGCGA
rnacentral:rRNA from 1 species